rnacentral:rRNA from 1 species
AGCGAACGCUGGCGGCAGGCCUAACACAUGCAAGUCGAACGAACUCUUCGGAGUUAGUGGCGGACGGGUGAGUAACACGUGGGAACGUGCCUUUUGGUUCGGAAUAACUCAGGGAAACUUGUGCUAAUACCGAGUGUGCCCUUCGGGGGAAAGAUUUAUCGCCAUUAGAGCGGCCCGCGUCUGAUUAGCUAGUUGGUGAGGUAACGGCUCACCAAGGCGACGAUCAGUAGCUGGUCUGAGAGGAUGACCAGCCACACUGGGACUGAGACACGGCCCAGACUCCUACGGGAGGCAGCAGUGGGGAAUCUUGCGCAAUGGGCGAAAGCCUGACGCAGCCAUGCCGCGUGAAUGAUGAAGGUCUUAGGAUUGUAAAAUUCUUUCACCGGGGACGAUAAUGACGGUACCCGGAGAAGAAGCCCCGGCUAACUUCGUG